rnacentral:lncRNA from 1 species
ACGCUCCUAGAGGUUUUAGGAUACAAUGGCUGUUUGGUUCCAGCCAUGAGGCUGCAUGCAACCUGCCUGACACUGCUCGACCUGGUCUAUCUUCUGCAUGAACCCAUAUAUGAGAGCCUGUUGAGGGCUUCAAUUGAGAACUCCACUCCCAGUCAGCUGCAAGGGGAAAAGUUUACUUCAGUGAAGGAAGACUUCAUGCUGUUGGCAGUAGGAAUCAUUGCAGCAAGUGCUUUCAUCCAAAACCAUGAGUGUUGGAGCCAGGUAUGCACCACUGAGCAGGACCAGCAUGGUUGUGGGGCAUUUGCAGAGCAUCACUGGUAUUGCCUUGGCAAGCAUUGCUGAGUUCUCUUAUGCAAUCCUGACUCACGGAGUGGGAGCCAACACUCCGGGGAGACAGCAGUCUAUUCCUCCCCACCUGGCAGCCAGAGCUCUGAAGACUGUUGCUUCCUCUAACACAUGAGGGAGGCUGAAUCCACCAAAUAUAAACAGCCAUCCGUCACUGCA